rnacentral:piRNA from 1 species
UGCCAACCUCCAUGCACUGAGCAGCUGA